UCCAGCUCCAGUCUCAACUAAAGAUAAAGCAACAUCUGUGAGGUGGGGCAAUCCAGCUACAGGAGACAUAGAAAUACACUCACACACAGAGUAAGGAGAGGAAGAAUGUAACCAGGUCUGGCCCAGUCUUCUUACAGAAUAAUGCCCUUCUCUCAGGUUCAACUUCCAAAGAAAACCACUUACAAGUCAAUCUCUGUUCCCUCCAUCCAUUCAUUCUCCCAAGUAUCCAUUCAUGUUUUUCCUGCUAAUUAUUUAAUGCCCCUUAACGGAAUUACCUAUGCUCCCCAUCUCCCCAAUCCACUCUGAAAGGAGGUUAUAUAUGUUUAGACCCCAGUGGGAAAUUGGGCGAUCAUUCUGCCAUUCCCCUCAUGUACUUGGUUAAAUAAAUGUAUGUGCCUUUUCUCUUAUUAAU
rnacentral:lncRNA from 1 species